rnacentral:rRNA from 1 species
UACGUAGGUGGCAAGCGUUGUCCGGAUUUACUGGGCGUAAAGAGCGCGCAGGCGGUCGUUCAAGUCGCGUGUGAAAGCCCCCGGCUCAACUGGGGAGGGUCACGCGAUACUGAUCGACUCGAAGGCAGGAGAGGGUAGUGGAAUUCCCGGUGUAGUGGUGAAAUGCGUAGAGAUCGGGAGGAACACCAGUGGCGAAGGCGGCACCCUGGACGAGGUCUGACGCUGAAGUGCGACAGCGUGGGGAGCGAACGGG